rnacentral:rRNA from 1 species
GGAAUAUUGGGCAAUGGAGGAAACUCUGACCCAGCGACGCCGCGUGCGGGAUGAAGGCCUUCGGGUUGUAAACCGCUUUCAGUAGGGAAGAAGUGAAAGUGACGGUACCUACAAAAGAAGCACCGGCUAACUAUGUGCCAGCAGCCGCGGUAAUACAUAGGGUGCAAGCGUUGUCCGGAAUUAUUGGGCGUAAAGAGCUCGUAGGUCGUUUGUUACGUCGGAUGUGAAAACCUGAGGCUCAACCUCAGGCCUGCAUUCGAUACGGGCAAACUAGAGUUUGGUAGGGGAGACUGGAAUUCCUGGUGUAGCGGUGGAAUGCGCAGAUAUCAGGAGGGACACCAAUGGCGAAGGCAGGUCUCUGGGCCAAUACUGACACUGAGGAGCGAAAGUCUGGGGAGCGAACAGGAUUAGAUACCCUGGUAGUCCAGACCGUAAACGGUGGGCACUAGUUGUGGGAACCUUCCACGGUUUCUGCGACGCAGCUAACGCAUUAAGUGCCCCGCCUGGGGAGUACGAUCGCAAGAUUAAAACUCAAAGGAAUUGACGG